UACGAGGGGGGCGAGCGUUGUUCGGAAUUAUUGGGCGUAAAGGGCGCGUAGGCGGGGCGGUAAGUCACCUGUGAAACCUCUGGGCUUAACUCAGAGCCUGCAGGCGAAACUGCCGUGCUGGAGUGUGGGAGAGGUGCGUGGAAUUCCCGGUGUAGCGGUGAAAUGCGCAGAUAUCAGGAGGAACACCAAUUGCGAAGGCAGCUCGCUGGGACGUUACUGACGCUGAGACGCGAAAGCGUGGGGAGCAAACAGG
rnacentral:rRNA from 1 species